ACUGGGAGGAGCAUGGGCCAGAGUUCCCCACCUGGCUCAGCAGUGCACUCACCCACAAUGUCGUCACCUCCACACCGACUCAGCACAGUGGUCAGGGCGAGGGCCCCCCAAAGCAGAGCUCUGUUUAGGGUCAUCUUCUUCUCAGGGUGGUGUCAGCAGCUGCUGCUCUGAGCUGUAGAGCAAUGGUGAAGACCAAGCUGAGGAAGAAAUCUAAAAACACCCAAACCAAACCCUGCAAGUCAGGCUCUAGCCAAUCAGAAAACCCGCCUGUGAUGACACCUCAGUUGCUGGUUAAAGAGUGUGUACUAGGAGGCCUGGCAGGGACUGGGAAAUCCCCAGGUUCUGAGGCUCUGAUCCAGCCUCUGCUCAGAGUGGACCUGAGGGAAUUCUCCAACAAAGGAGGGAAGGUAUGAAAUCAGAAUCUCCUCUCUGUGUGUGCCUGCUGGUUCUCACAAACCUAAAUAACCAAAACAUGAACA